rnacentral:rRNA from 1 species
UAUAGUCAAGUAAUUAAGUGCAUGUGGUGGAUGCCUUGGCAGUCAGAGGCGAAGAAAGACGUAAUAGCCUGCGAUAAGCUUCGGGGAGGCGGCGGAUAUCCUGUGAUC